rfam:Camelus ferus unplaced genomic scaffold scaffold477, whole genome shotgun sequence.
GAGGGUAUAGCUCAACGUGGUAGAGUGCAUGCUUAGCAUGUAUGAGGUCCCGGGUUCAAUCCCCAGUACCUCCU